CAGUAGCCGCGGGAAUACAGAGGGUGCGAGCGUUAAUCGGAUUUACUGGGCGUAAAGCGUGCGUAGGCGGCUUUUUAAGUCGGAUGUGAAAUCCCUGAGCUUAACUUAGGAAUUGCAUUCGAUACUGGGAAGCUAGAGUAUGGGAGAGGAUGGUAGAAUUCCAGGUGUAGCGGUGAAAUGCGUAGAGAUCUGGAGGAAUACCGAUGGCGAAGGCAGCCAUCUGGCCUAAUACUGACGCUGAGGUACGAAAGCAUGGGGAGCAAACAGGAUUAGAUACCCCAGUUAGUCCCUGUCUCUUAUA
rnacentral:rRNA from 1 species